rnacentral:rRNA from 1 species
AUUGAACGCUGGCGGCAGGCCUAACACAUGCAAGUCGAGCGGAUGAAGGGAGCUUGCUCCUGGAUUCAGCGGCGGACGGGUGAGUAAUGCCUAGGAAUCUGCCUGGUAGUGGGGGAUAACGUCCGGAAACGGGCGCUAAUACCGCAUACGUCCUGAGGGAGAAAGUGGGGGAUCUUCGGACCUCACGCUAUCAGAUGAGCCUAGGUCGGAUUAGCUAGUUGGUGGGGUAAAGGCCUACCAAGGCGACGAUCCGUAACUGGUCUGAGAGGAUGAUCAGUCACACUGGAACUGAGACACGGUCCAGACUUCUACGGGAGGCAGCAGUGGGGAAUAUUGGACAAUGGGCGAAAGCCUGAUCCAGCCAUGCCGCGUGUGUGAAGAAGGUCUUCGGAUUGUAAAGCACUUUAAGUUGGGAGGAAGGGCAGUAAGUUAAUACCUUGCUGUUUUGACGUUACCGACAGAAUAAGCACCGGCUAACUUCGUG